rnacentral:lncRNA from 1 species
UGUUAAAGUUGAAUAUUCUUUUUAUUUUUGAAGAAAAAAUGCAUUUUAGAAAAAUGAUAUGGAUUGAAAAAACAUUUAGAAAAUAACAUAUCUUAAACACAGCAGCCUUGUGUUCUCUUUGUUUCCUCCCAGCUCAUGACUUGGUGUGCAUCUUGCCCCUCAUGUUGUUGCUCCCUAGUCGUCACCUGCUCAGCCUCAUCGAUCUACGAUCACAGAUCCUAUUCCAUGGCCAGCUUUCCUUUUUCUUCUACAUUAUAUUGUUCUUCUGUGAUUGUCUUUUUCUUUUAGUUUGGCUAGUUAGAGAAAAGCUUUUCGUGUUCUGUUCCCCGCCUCUUUCUGGAAGGAUUAUUGAAUGUCGUCGGUUGAAGAUUUGAUGCGUUGGUUCUGCUUCUACAAACAGGUUUUCUUUAGCUUUAUUUAUUUAUUUAUUUUUCACUCUUUUGCUGUUGUAGUAUAUCGCUUCACAUUUGUUUAUUAUCAUGUUGCUUUUAGAGCCCCCUUCAUGUAUGGAUUUGUAAUUUUAUAUUUUCUUUUUGGAAGUAUGGAUUUGUCUCUUUUUCUCCCUUCACUCUCCCCGCCCUCUAGUCUUUUGUUGAAUUAUUGCAGGCACAGCACUUGAGGUUUCUCUAGCUGCCUGGAAAAAACAAGAACAAAGAAAAAAAAUUAAGAAACGGGUUUAUGGUGUCAAUGAUAGACACAUGCAGCCAAAUAUAUGGUGCCGACUGCCGACACUUUAGGCGCAUUAAUUUAUUUUUCUUAGACAAGAGAAAAUUACAUGGUUGAGGGAUCCACACAACCCGGAGCUUUCAUGUCGCGUCAUCUUGGAAGCUUGAACACAACAAGGAAUUGUUUGUUUGGUCCUCGGUCUGGCAUCUGAUUAUUGCUACUCUUUAAAAUUUAUUUAUUAGUUAGAAUUUUAUAAAUUUUAAAAUUAUUUAAAAGUUAUAUAAUUAUUAAUUUUAAAGUUUAUAAAAUUAG